UACGAAGGGGGCUAGCGUUGUUCGGAAUUACUGGGCGUAAAGCGCAUGUAGGCGGAUCGAUCAGUCAGGGGUGAAAUCCCAGAGCUCAACUCUGGAACUGCCUUUGAUACUGUCGAUCUAGAGUAUGGAAGAGGUGAGUGGAAUUCCGAGUGUAGAGGUGAAAUUUGUAGAUAUUCGGAGGAACACCAGUGGCGAAGGCGGCUCACUGGUCCAUUACUGACGCUGAGGUGCGAAAGCGUGGGGAGCAAACAGG
rnacentral:rRNA from 1 species